rnacentral:rRNA from 1 species
UUUAACCUUCGGGGGGACGCUUACCACUUUGUGGUUCAUGACUGGGGUGAAGUCGUAACAAGGUAGCGCUAGGGGAACCUGGCGCUGGAUCACCUCCUUAAACGAUGAU